GAUGAACGCUGGCGGCGUGCCUAAUACAUGCAAGUCGAGCGAACGGACGAGAAGCUUGCUUCUCUGAUGUUAGCGGCGGACGGGUGAGUAACACGUGGAUAACCUACCUAUAAGACUGGGAUAACUUCGGGAAACCGGAGCUAAUCCCGGAUGAUAUUUUGAACCGCAUGGUUCAAAAGUGAAAGACGGUCUUGCUGUCACUUAUAGAUGGAUCUGCGCUGCAUUAGCUAGUUGGUAAGGUAACGGCUUACCAAGGCAACGAUGCAUAGCCGACCUGAGAGGGUGAUCGGCCGCACUGGAACUGAGACACGGUCCAGACUCCUACGGGAGGCAGCAGUAGGGAAUCUUCCGCAAUGGGCGAAAGCCUGACGGAGCAACGCCGCGUGAGUGAUGAAGGUCUUCGGAUCGUAAAACUCUGUUAUUAGGGAAGAACAUAUGUGUAAGUAACUGUGCACAUCUUGACGGUACCUAAUCAGAAAGCCACGGCUAACUACGUG
rnacentral:rRNA from 1 species